AUUGAACGCUGGCGGCAUGCUUUACACAUGCAAGUCGAACGGCAGCGCGGGCUUCGGCCUGGCGGCGAGUGGCGAACGGGUGAGUAAUACAUCGGAACGUGCCCAGUAGUGGGGGAUAGCGCGGCGAAAGCCGGAUUAAUACCGCAUACGACCUGAGGGUGAAAGCGGGGGAUCUUCGGACCUCGCGCUAUUGGAGCGGCCGAUGGCAGAUUAGCUAGUUGGUGGGGUAAAGGCCUACCAAGGCGACGAUCUGUAGCUGGUCUGAGAGGAAGACCAGCCACACGGGGACUGAGACGCGGCCCAGACCCACACGGGGGGCAGGAGUGGAGAAUUGGGCACAAGGGGAGAAAGUCAGAUACAGAAACGCCGCGUGUGAUGAAGGCCUUCGGGUUGUAAAGCACUUUUGGCGGGAACGAAAAGGACUGUGCCAAUACCACGGUUCGAUGACGGUACCCGCAGAAUAAGCACCGGCUAACUACGUG
rnacentral:rRNA from 1 species